GACGAACGCUGGCGGCGUGCUUAACACAUGCAAGUCGAACGGUGAAGCGCUUGCCUUUUUGGUGGGUGUGGAUGAGUGGCGAACGGGUGAGUAACACGUGAGUAACCUGCCCUCUUCUUCUGGAUAACCUCAUGAAAGUGGGGCUAAUACGGGGUAUUCCGGGUCUGUCGCAUGGCGGGUUUGGGAAAGAUUGCGCCUUUGGGUGUUUUCGGUGGGGGAUGGGCUCGCGGCCUAUCAGCUUGUUGGUGGGGUGAUGGCCUACCAAGGCGGUGACGGGUAGCCGGCCUGAGAGGGUGGACGGCCACACUGGGACUGAGACACGGCCCAGACUCCUGCGGGAGGCAGCAGUGGGGAAUAUUGCACAAUGGGCGCAAGCCUGAUGCAGUGACGCCGCGUGAGGGAUGGAGGCCUUCGGGUUGUGAACCUCUUUCGCCAGUGAAGCAGGCCUGCUCCUGUGUGGGUGGGUUGACGGUAGCUGGAUAAGAAGCGCCGGCUAACUACGUG
rnacentral:rRNA from 1 species